UGGUUCUGGCAUCGAUGAAGAACGCAGCGAAAUGCGAUAAGUAAUGUGAAUUGCAGAAUUCAGUGAAUCAUCGAAUCUUUGAACGCACAUUGCGCCCUUUGGUAUUCCGAAGGGCAUGCCUGUUCGAGCGUCAUUACACCAAUCAAGCCUGGCUUGGUGUUGGGCCUCGGGGUGACCCGGACCUCAAUUUGACCGGCUGGAACGAUUGAAUCUCAGCGUCGUGACAACAAUUCGCUGGCGAGACAAGCGUCCCAUGCCGUUAAAAUUCUUAUCAAGGUUGACCUCGGAUCAGGUAGGGAUACCCGCUGA
rnacentral:misc_RNA from 1 species